rnacentral:tRNA from 1 species
AGUCUUUGUAGUAUAACAAAAUACUUCGGUUUUGUAAACCGAAAAUGGAGAAAAUCAUACCUCCCUAAGACUUC